AUGAACUAUGGAAUGAGGUUCGUGAUAUUGUACAGGAGACGGAUCAAGACCAUCCCCAUGGAAAAGAAAUGCAAAAAAGCAAAAUGUCUGUCUUGGGAGGCCCUACAAAUAGCUGUGAAAAGAAGAGAGGCGAAAAGCAAAGGAGAAAAGGAAAGAUAUAAGCAUCUGAAUGCAGAGUUCCAAAGAAUAGCAAAAAGAGAUAAGAAAGCCUUCUUCAGUGAUCAAUGCAAAGAAAUAGAGGAAAACAACAAAAUGGGAAAGACUAGAGAUCUCUUCAAGAAAAUCAGAGAUACCAAGGGAACAUUUCAUGCAAAGAUGGGCUCGAUAAAGAACAGAAAUGGUCUGGACCUAACAGAAGCAGAAGAUAUUAAGAAGAGAUGGCAAAAAUACACGGAAGAACUGUACAAAAAACAUCUUCAUGACCCAGAUAAUCAUGAUGAUGUGAUCACUUAUCUAGAGCCAGACAUCUUGGAAUGCGAAGUCAAGUGGGCCUUAGAAAGCAUCACUACAAACAAAGCUAGUGGAGGUGAUGGAAUUCCAGUUGAGCUAUUUCAAAUCCUGAAAGAUGAUGCUGUGAAAGUGCUGCACUCAAUAUGCCAGCAAGUUUGGAAAACUCAGCAGUGGCCACAGGACUGGAAAAGGUCAGUUUUCAGUCCAAUCCCAAAGAAAGGCAAUGCCAAAGAAUGCUCAAACUACUGCACAAUUGCACUCAUCUCACAUGCUAGUAAAGUAAUGCUCAAAAUUCUCCAAGCCAGACUUCAGCAAUACGUGAACCCUGAACUCCCUGAUGUUCAAGCUGGUUUUAGAAAAGGCAGAGGAACCAGAGAUCAAAUUGCCAACAUCCGCUGGAUCAUGGAAAAAGCAAGAGAGUUCCAGAAAAACAUCUAUUUCUGCUUUAUUGACUAUGCCAAAGCCUUUGACUGUGUGGAUCACAAUAAACUGUGGAAAAUUCUGAAAGAGAUGGGAAUACCAGACCACCUAACCUGCCUCUUGAGACAUCUGUAUGCAGGCCAGGAAGCAACAGUUAGAACUGGACAUGGAACAACAGACCGGUUCCAAAUAGGAAAAGGAGUACGUCAAGGCUGUAUAUUGUCACCCUGCUUAUUUAACUUCUAUGCAGAGUACAUCAUGAGAAACACUGGACUGGAAGAAACACAAGCUGGAAUCAAGAUUGCCAGGAGAAAUAUCAAUAACCUCAGAUAUGCAGAUGACACCACCCUUGUAGCAGAAAGUGAAGAGGAACUAAAAAGCCUCUUGAUGAAAGUGAAAGAGGAGAGUGAAAAAGUUGGCUUAAAGCUCAACAUUCAGAAAACGAAGAUAAUGGCCUCUGGUCCCAUCACUUCAUGGGAAAUAGAUGGAGAAACAGUGGAAACAGUGUCACACUUUAUUUUUUGGGGCUCCAAAAUCACUGCAGAUGGCGAUGGCAGCCAUGAAAUUAAAAGAUGCUUACUCCUUGGAAGAAAAGUUAUGACCAACCUAGAUAGUAUAUUCAAAAGCAGAGACAUUACUUUGUCGACUAAGGUCCGCCUAGUCAAGGCUAUGGUUUUUCCUGUGGUCAUGUAUGGAUGUGAGAGUUGGACUGUGAAGAAGGCUGAGCACUGA
rnacentral:lncRNA from 1 species